rnacentral:lncRNA from 1 species
GUUGAGUGUAGGAGGAAAUGCCCUUCAUGUUAUUGGCAAUACCUGGUUAAAGUUUAAAAUAGGUAACAAAACCUUUAGACACCCGGUGAUAGUGGUAGAUCUCCCCUAUGACCGACUGAUUCUGGGUAUAGACAUACUCAGAAGACUUGACACGAUUAUUGACUGUGUAAAUGGAAUUGUAUGGUCACAAGCUAAGGUUCCCAUAACCUAUGAGAAAUCACAUGUACAAUCUGAUCGUAACUGCCAUGUGAUAGAUGAAAGACCUGACUCGAUUGAG